CAAAAAUUGGGUUCCUCCUUCAAUUGUCACUGAUUCUUCUUCUGGUUGGUUUUGUUUUGUAGGAACAGAAUAGAUGAUGAAUGCCAUGGAGGAAUGGAAACCUGGAUUGUUUGGAUUUUGAGGGGUUGCUGCUGGAGAGGAGGAAGCCAUAAGAUAGCAAACCCCCUAGAUCUGGUUAUUUUGUUUGGUUUUAUCUCACAGGGGUUGUUGCUGGAGAGGAGGAAGCCAUGAGAUAGCAAACCCCCUAGAUCUAGCUACUUUCACAUUUUGAAAAGGCACUUUGUUCAAAUGUGUGUGCUGAUGUUCACCAUUAAGCCCAUGGCAGACCACCACUCAGUUUUAUCAAAUUGAUAGGUGCGCUGCUCAGUUUCGUGAACUGAGCGGUGCAAAGGCAGGCCACCACUCAGUUCCGUGAGCUGGGAGGUGCACUGCUCAGUUCCGUGAGCUGAGCGGUGCAAUGGCAGGCCACUGUCAGUUCCCAAAACUGAGAGGUGCAAAGCUAUGUGCUUAAUGGCGAACAUCUCACUUAAUGGAACUAUGCAGCUCCGAGAUAUACAUACUAUAUAAGUCGGCGGAAACUAUUGAA